UACGUAGGGGGCAAGCGUUGUCCGGAAUCAUUGGGCGUAAAGAGCGUGUAGGCGGCCAGAAAAGUCCGCUGUGAAAACUCGAGGCUCAACUUCGAGCUGUCGGUGGAAACUUUCUGGCUAGAGGCAGGCAGGGGAGAACGGAAUUCCCGGUGUAGCGGUGAAAUGCGCAGAUAUCGGGAGGAACACCAAUGGCGAAGGCAGCUCGCUGGGACGUUACUGACGCUGAGACGCGAAAGCGUGGGGAGCAAACAGG
rnacentral:rRNA from 1 species